rnacentral:rRNA from 1 species
AGAAUCAACGCUGGCGGCGCGCCUAACACAUGCAAGUCGAACGAGAAAGUGGAGCAAUCCAUGAGUACAGUGGCGUACGGGUGAGUAACACGUGGGUAAUCUACCUCUUAGUGAGGAAUAACCCUGGGAAACCGGGGCUAAUACCGCAUGAGCCUGAGAAGGGAAAGCAGAAAUGCGCUGAGAGAGGAGCCCGCGGCCGAUUAGCUAGUUGGUGGGGUAAGAGCCCACCAAGGCAGAGAUCGGUAGCCGGCCUGAGAGGGCACACGGCCACACUGGCACUGAAACACGGGCCAGACUCCUACGGGAGGCAGCAGUGGGGAAUCUUGCACAAUGGGGGAAACCCUGAUGCAGCGACGCCGCGUGAGCGAUGAAGCCCUUCGGGUGUAAAGCUCUUUCGUCAGGGAAGAUAGUGACGGUACCUGGAGAAGCAGCUGCGGCUAACUACGUGCCAGCAGCCGCGGUAAUACGUAGGCAGCAAGCGUUGUUCGGAGUUACUGGGCGUAAAGGGUGUGUAGGCGGUUCUUUAAGUUUGGUGUGAAAUCGCCCGGCUUAACCGGGAGGGUGCGCCGAAUACUGAGGGACUAGAGUACGGGAGAGGAAAGUGGAAUUCCUGGUGUAGCGGUGAAAUGCGUGGAUAUCAGGAGGAACACCGGUGGUGUAGACGGCUUUCUGGACCGUAACUGACGCUGAGACACGAAAGCGUGGGUAGCAAACAGGAUUAGAUACCCUGGUAGUCCACGCCCUAAACGAUGCAUAUUUGGUGUGGGCAGUUCAUUCUGUCCGUGCCGGAGCUAACGCGUUAAAUAUGCCGCCUGGGGAGUACAGUCGCAAGGCUGAA